rnacentral:lncRNA from 1 species
UAUGUUUUGUUAUAUCCAAAAUAUUGAAAAUUGAUUUUAAUAUGGUUGAUCACACUUGACAAAAAUAAUUGUCUCAAUAAUUAAUUUAGUUGAAAUCAAAGAUUUAGUUUUAAAAUUCAAGUGUGAAUUUAGUUAUUAAAUUUAUGAAAUUUACGUGCAUAAUCAUUGGAGUGGGUGAGAUACUCUUUCAAGUAAUAUUUAGUUUGAUUAAACGGAGAAGAGUUGUUAAUCCACUAGAAUUCAACCCCUCAACCUUGUAUUAGUACUAAUUUUUUUUAAAAGCCUGACAAUGAU